AUGUUUGGAGAAAUUGAAAAGAGAGGUGGAUGGCUGGAACACAUCCCUUGCUUUGCUGCAGGCCAAAUGCAGGCUUCAAAGGUGCCCAUAUUCAGCCUUAAGCCUCUCAGUGGCAUGUCAUUAUCCGGUGAUGAUAUAGUCUGUGUGGUUGUGUACACUGACAAGUUCCUCACAUUGAAGUGUUCUACCAUGUUAAAUCCAACAAGUGAAAAAGAAAACCAAAGACAACUCAUAAAACUAGGGAAACUUAUCUCAUCUGAAUAUGACACUCAAAAAAUAACCUCCUGGGAAUUCAAUCUGCUCUUGUGAAGCACCUGCUUUGCAGGCAACCAUGUCUUAAAAUCCUUUUGAUUGUGUAAGUCUCUCUUUGAAAAUACUGGUGUUUUUCUUCUAUUAGAGAACCACAUUUCUCUAGAAUUUGUAACUUCUCUCUUUUGGUUUGUCUUUUUGUGAUAAGUUUAUGACCACUUGUUAUUGUGACCAUAUUAUCAAUUGGUAUUCAUGAUGUGGAUUUUUCUGUGUAUUAGCAUUAAUUUUGCUAAGCUAAAUAAUGUUGUUCUGGCUACAUACCACAUGGUGUAAGAAUGUCUACGAGAAUGGCUUUGAACGAGCUCAGCCCUCAUUUCUGCUUAUGAUUUAGGUGUAGCUGACGUGUAGCUUGAGCACAUUGUACUUAGAUAUUGAACACUUAGGGUCUUUCUGUUAAGAUGAGCUGCUUUUAUGGAUACAAACCUCAUGAAUGGGAACUGGAGAAUACGUUGAGAUGUUGACUGCUCCUACUUUCCCUGCAGGGUGUUUUGGAGUUAAGCCUAAGCCUGCUUAAUCUGAAAUGUGUACUUACAAUGCUGAUGCUGCACAGGUCUGUACGUGUGUGUAGACUGCACCUCCAUUCAGCUGGCAGUGUUUUAAAUCAUCUUUUGAAGGACAAACACUAUUCCCCUGAUUGUCUUAGUAGACCACCUCUGUUCUGAUUAGAGUACGUACGUGAAUUAUGCAUACAGGACUGGGAUGGGAGCCACGCUGACCCCACUAUACUGAAAUGUGUAUUUUGUACCUUUUGUAGCAGCGCUGCUGCUUCCCUUUGUUGACAAGCUCUCUUCAGAUGUACACAUACUAGGAUUACUUUUUUACCUGGCUGUAUUACGUGACAGAGCCACAUACUUCUUUUGAUCAACACAAUCUCAAGAUCAUUCCUGGCCUCCAUUUUUUCAGAAAAAAAAGAUGUACACUUAGUAUCUCUUGCGUUUUUCCUCAUUAAACUUCUUACCUCCAUAAAGGUAAAAGGCAUAAAGAAAUUAGCCCUGCCUGCAAAGCAGCUGCAUUACUCUGUUACGCACCAUUAUUGCUGUCCUCUUGGCCUUCUAAACCUUUUGCAAAGGCCAGACAUACCCUUUCAGACAAGUUCAGUGGUUGACAGUCAGAUGGGUUUUGAUGCCAGAAGGCUCACUUGCAUCAUUAACUGCUUUUUGCCUACUUGUAACACAGGCUUUCAAAUAAGCUGUACGAACACUUUACUGCACUGACAUUACACUUGUGCAAACGUCAACAAACACUGCCACAAGCAAGAGAAAAACAAGUUAAAACAAAUUAAUUUACCAUCUGGAAGACAGGGCAAGUUCUGUACUAAUAUUUAGGGUCAAUAUUUACGUUGUCCUCAAUGAUUUCAUGCUGGGUAACACAGCAGUCUCAUAUGCAGAUUUUUUAUUGGAGUUAAAGCCAGCUAUACCAUGAGAGCCAAAUAACGCCAGCCCAUGCAAAAAUAGUAGAGAUCUGUGAUUUUGCUGCUAACACCUUUAAAUGGUAUUGAAAGAUAGAAGCAGGAAUCCAGAAUUGUUCUGUGGUAUUCCAGUGUACAAGGUGUAUGAUGCAAGCAUGCUUCAGCCUUGCAAGGUCAAGUGUCUUAGGGUAAGACUUAGGGAUUUAUUGUAUUACAGAGUCUCAGAUAUGAGCUGGAUAUGGUUUUAAAAUGAAGCUUAAUGAAAUUAUAGUCAACACUGACUCUUCAGUGUAAGAGUCAAUAUUUUUUUUUCUUUCUGGUUCUGUUUUCUAGACAUAUGAAUAACGUAGCUGGCUAUGAUUUGCCUAGAGCUGAGUAGCAUUAAAAUACAAAGGAAGAUAAAAGAAAUCUCCAAAAUAUAGCUUUUAUGUUUGUGUUCAUCUAAAUCUCUUCAGUAAAAUCUAAUAUGCAAACUUCACAGAAAGCAUUUUAGGGCUUAGAAGAAUAUCAAUUAAUAUAAAAUAAAUAGUGGAUUUUGCUAGAUGGUUUUGUCCA
rnacentral:lncRNA from 1 species